rnacentral:rRNA from 1 species
CGACAUGGGCGCAGUCUGAUGCAGCCAUGCCGCGUGAGUGAGAAGGCCUUCGGGUUGUAAAGCUCUUUCUUCGGGGACGAAAGUGUGACGGCCAAUACCCGUGGGCCCUGACGUUACCCCGUCACAACCCCCCCGCUAAAACCGUGCCCCCCGCCGCGAUAAAAAGUGCCACCCCCCCCCCCGUCGUAUGGUCUCGGGUUUUUUUUGUUAUUUUGGGGGCGGGGUGGGUGGGGGGGGGGGGGAUU